CCUGUGUCUCCUCACCCCCAG
rnacentral:miRNA from 1 species